rnacentral:misc_RNA from 1 species
GAUGAAGAACGUAGCGAAAUGCGAUAAGUAGUGUGAAUUGCAGAAUUCAGUGAAUCAUCGAAUCUUUGAACGCACAUUGCGCCCCUUGGUAUUCCAUGGGGCAUGCCUGUUCGAGCGUCAUUUGUACCUUCAAGCUUUGCUUGGUGUUGGGUGUUUGUCCAUUCUCUUGCAGAGGGACUCGCCUUAAAGUAAUUGGCAGCCAGUGUUUUGGUUUUGAAGCGCAGCACAAGUCGCGAUUCAACGCUAUACGCCAGCUUCCACAAGCCUUUUUCACUUUUGACCUCGGAUCAGGUAGGGAUACCCGCUGAACUUAAGCAUAUCAUAAGCGGAGGA